CUCUCUCGUCUCCCCCCAAUCCCCUACUCUCUCUCGUCCCCCAAUCUCUCCACAUCCUCCUCCAAAUCUCCACCUCGCCAGUGAGCAACCCAUGGCGCCGUCAGCGGAUCUCCUCCACGUGCCGGCCGCCUCGCCGGGCGAGCAGCAGACGGACACCAUGGGGCGAGCGCUUGCCGAGCGGGAGCAGCAGAAGGACACAUGGAGCGAGCGCUUGCCGAGCAGGAGCUCCGUGGUGAGCAGCAGCCGCUGCAUCAGGUCGCCGGCGCGGCUGCAUCGGCGGGUGAAACCCUAGCGCGCCGCCUCGGGAAAGUCGCCUCCAUCUCCCCCCAAUCACGUCUCCAUCUCUCCUCCUAUCUCUGCCUCCAUCUCUCCCCCAAUCCGUGCUUCUAGCUCCGGCUCUUCCUCCUCCGCCGGUCUUCCCACUAGCUAGAGCAGGGAGAGUUAGAGGGAACCAGGGCGCCAUAGGUGAGGAGGUGGAGCUCGACGUGGAGGAACUUGCGGCGAAACUGCAGGCAAGGAUCAGCUUCCAUCCCCAUCCUCUUGGCUGGCGGCUGGUGGCCGUCCUGGCUCUUCCUCUCCAUCGUGACACCUCGUCCUCUAUGGGGACAGAAGGACGGCAUCAACAUAGUCGUUCAUGUCGCCAUCGCCAAACCCUAGGGUGAAACCUACGACCCAAGAUUUGUCAAGAUGAACGAGGUCGCGGAGCCAAGGAUAGGUGUUGCGGACUCACCGUCAGCUUGCAGGUGGAGAAGGCAGAAGAGGGCAAGGUUCUGGAAGUGGUUGAUGUUGGGUAUUGCGGUGAUCAGCAACAGGGCAUCUCACCACAUCUAGAUAACAGCCUCCAGGAUGUUGUAUGAAUGGAAGAAGGUGCAGAAUAGUGACAACUCAUCCUUCUCUUACUCAUAUAUGUGAGGGAAGCAUCAGCUAAAUCAUGAGGAGUGUAGAACUGUAGACUGCUGUUGCCCCACAGAAGGAUGAGGAUGUCGGAACCAAGGUAUACCGCCCACUCAUUUGCUUAUAAGGCAUUUCCUGACUAUCAUUGUGUUAGCCAGAGCAUUAAUCACGGGACUCCUGAUGUAUCCAUUGCGAUGCAAUAUGUGUGCAAAGCCCUUUUCAGCAUUUCCUAGGAUGUGAAGGAGGAGUGUAGACUGUUGUUGCCCCAAAGAAGGAUGAGGAUGUUGGAACCAAGGUAUACCGCCCUCUCAUUUGCUUAUAAGGCAUUUCCUGACCAUCGUGGUGUCAGCCAGAGCAUUAAUCACGCACUGAGCUUUCUAAUGAUCCUCCAGCUACGACGAGAAAGAAAAACUAAGAAGCAUUAGAGCUAGGUGACCACAAUUCUCAUUGGAGCACUUUUGACUUUAUUUUCUUCCUCUUUGGAUUUUUUUUCUUCUCAAUUGUUUUCUAUUUUUCUGUAUUGGAGUACUUGCAUUGCUGAUUCCGUAAGAUCAUUUGAAUGUAAUUCUUAUUUCAUUUCGACAAGUAGCUCGAGUGGCCUCAAGUAGUUCAGAUAUAAUAUGGUUCAGAUAUAAAUCAAGUGACCUCAAGUAUCACAGGUGUAGUUCAGGCAUAUAGAACUCUUUCAGGUGUUUAUCUAUAAAAAUCUACUUGAUAUUCUCGCAUUAGUUCAGAUAUAGUAUGGAGUUUAUAUUUUUUCUACGAAUUUAAUGUGCUCUGAUAUGUGCAGAUUACAGUAAUGAUGAUAAACUGGCCUCAAGUAGUCCUCUGCCUCUUCUUCUGGAAGAUGUUCGGUUGAUCUGAUAAUGGCCCAUUUGAUCCUUCUUCUGAAUGUAAAUUGGCUAGAUUAGGCAAGAAGGGCUUGAGUGGCAUCUGAGCUCGCUGCUGCUAAUCAACAACCAUAUUCUUGGCAUCAAUGCUUUCCAGGCAGGGCUAACAUUUCAAUAGGAGCAAAGCAUCCCAAAAUCGUCGUAUUGGGAGCUGGUAGGAAGUUUGCCAUAUGAGAGUACCUACAAGUUGCAGGUUUUAUUCUUCAUUAUCUUUCCAAUGUAUUCAUUUUCCAGCAUUGUUUGGGUAUUUGAGAGCAAGUUUGCAAUCUGAAACUAUCUGCAAGCUAUAAGUUUUCUUCUUCUUAUACUUCCUAUUUAUUCUAGAUGCUACAUUUAUCUGAAAUGUCUUACCACUGAUAUAUAAAAGGGAUUCUUUUUGAUGCUAUCAUGUCAAUUGAUGCAUGAUGCAUGUCAUGCUGCUGGGAGGAGCUGAUGCGUGCCGUGCCGUCGCCUAGAAGAGCUGUCGUGCAUGUCGUUUGGGAGGAAGCCGGACGAGUUAAAAAAAAGGAGAAGCCUGACUUUUAUUUCGUGAUGUUGGUGCUUUGUUCAAAAGGAAGGUAUGAUAUCUAGGUAAAGGCAACGCAUUUAUGUGUCCAUUAUUGACUCUGAAACUUAUAUGGGCAAUUGGUUGUUCACUAUAACAUUGGUUUGUCCCAAAACACCAUUUAAUCAUUAUCAUGGUGUAUACUCAAUUUCAACAUUUUCCUGAUCUGAUUGUUGUAAUUUCCAUCUUACGGGUUACGUAGACGUUAUUUCCGCUAAUAUAUUACAUGUGUACUAUUUUUCUUUAUCCUUCUCUUGAUUUAUGUUUACUUGGUUUAUUUAAUUUCUUACAAUUACUUUUUUGGUAGAUUGUUUUGCUAGACCUAGCUGUUUCUUACAAUUACUUUCAUCUCUAUUGCUGCAAGGCUCCCUUCCUGGUUUAUAGAAUUUGUUCAUCUGCAGUCUUAUACAUUACAAAACUAGAGCACAAAAGAUCUAUGAGUUGGUGUGUCACUAAAUAUAUAGAAUUGAUGCAUUGUUGUUUUCAGUAUUUAUGAUGUCUGAAAAAAGGCCAAGUUUGCAGGCAAGUUACAGAAAUAUCAGGGAUAAAAAAAU